AUUGAACGCUGGCGGCAGGCCUAACACAUGCAAGUCGAGCGGAUGAAGGGAGCUUGCUCCUGGAUUCAGCGGCGGACGGGUGAGUAAUGCCUAGGAAUCUGCCUGGUAGUGGGGGAUAACGUCCGGAAACGGGCGCUAAUACCGCAUACGUCCUGAGGGAGAAAGUGGGGGAUCUUCGGACCUCACGCUAUCAGAUGAGCCUAGGUCGGAUUAGCUAGUUGGUGGGGUAAAGGCCUACCAAGGCGACGAUCCGUAACUGGUCUGAGAGGAUGAUCAGUCACACUGGAACUGAGACACGGCCCAGACUCCUUCGGGAGGCAGCAGUGGGGAAUAUUGGACAAUGGGCGAAAGCCUGAUCCAGCCAUGCCGCGUGUGUGAAGAAGGUCUUCGGAUUGUAAAGCACUUUAAGUUGGGAGGAAGGGCAGUAAGUUAAUACCUUGCUGUUUUGACGUUACCAACAGAAUAAGCACCGGCUAACUUCGUGC
rnacentral:rRNA from 1 species